UAACAAGGAUUCCCCUAGUAACGGCGAGUGAAGCGGGAACAGCUCAAAUUUAAAAUCUGGCUGCCUUAGGUAGUCCGAGUUGUAAUCUGGAGAAGUGUUUUCUGCGCUGGACCGUGUACAAGUCUCUUGGAAUAGAGCGUCGUAGAGGGUGAGAAUCCCGUCUUUGACACGGACUACCAGGGCUAUAUGAUACACUCUCGAAGAGUCGAGUUGUUUGGGAAUGCAGCUCAAAAUGGGUGGUAAAUUCCAUCUAAAGCUAAAUACAGGCGAGAGACCGAUAGCGAACAAGUACCGUGAGGGAAAGAUGAAAAGCACUUUGGAAAGAGAGUUAAACAGUACGUGAAAUUGCUGAAAGGGAAACGCUUGAAGUCAGUCGCGUUAGUUGAGACUCAGCCUUGCUUUUGCUUGGUGCACUUCUCAGCUGACGGGUCAACAUCAAUUUUGGAUGCUGGACAAAGACUGGGGGAAUGUGGCUUCUUCGGGAGUGUUAUAGCCCUCAGUUGUAUACAGUGACUGGGAUUGAGGACCGCAGUGCGCCUUUAUGGUCGGGGUUCGCCCUCGUUCGCACUUAGGAUGUUGGCAUAAUGGCUUUAAGCGAC
rnacentral:rRNA from 1 species